rnacentral:rRNA from 1 species
GGGUUAGUAGGUUGGUCAUGCCUCUGGUAUGUACUGGUCUCACUGAUUCCUCCUUCCUGAUGAACCGUAAUGCCAUUAAUUUGGUGUUGCGGGGAAUUUGGACUGUUACUUUGAAAAAAUUAGAGUGUUUAAAGCAAGCUAACGCUUGAAUACAUUAGCAUGGAAUAAUGAAAUAGGACGUUCGAUCCUAUUUUGUUGGUUUCUAGGAUUGACGUAAU